rfam:Hepatitis D virus isolate TWD2577-66 genotype I, complete genome.
AUGGCCGGCAUGGUCCCAGCCUCCUCGCUGGCGCCGGCUGGGCAACAUUCCGAAGGGGACCGUCCCUCGGUAAUGGCGAAUGGGACCCA